UACGUAGGGGGCGAGCGUUGUCCGGAUUUAUUGGGCGUAAAGAGCGUGUAGGCUGCCAGGUAGGUCUGCUGUGAAAACUCGAGGCUCAACCUCGAGACGUCGGCGGAAACCAUCUGGCUAGAGUCCGGAAGAGGAGAGUGGAAUUCCCGGUGUAGCGGUGAAAUGCGCAGAUAUCGGGAAGAACACCCGUGGCGAAGGCGGCUCUCUGGGACGGUACUGACGCUGAGACGCGAAAGCGUGGGGAGCGAACAGG
rnacentral:rRNA from 1 species